CCUUCGGCUCUUGCCAGAAAAACUGCCUUCGCCGGAAUCUCUGGACGGAUUCCGGCAACUUGCCAGAAUUUGGCCAUAGUCUCCCCGUAAACUCUGAAUCACCAAGUUAUCGACAAGCAACACAAAAAUGCACCCAAUCAGUCUGAAUAUCCACACAACAACUAUAUAACAUCAAAGGUGAUCGAGAUUACCUUCCAUCGAUCUCAAGUGUUAUCCCAAGAAAUCCCUUGGUCCGGACUCAAUAUGCAGGAACCCCAAACAUCCACAACCGCUGCCUCCUUCUUCACUGCAACAACACCACUCACCUCAGAUCCUCUCCAGUCAAGCACUUCCGACCUCUGCCUUGGUCCCGAUCGAUAUGUAACUCCACCAAUGACCGUUUCAACUUCACACCAAGCUCACCAAACCUACCAAAACGCUGAAGAACUCGCCGGAAACCACCGAACGCCAGUCGCCGGAGCUAGAAACCGGAACCCAGAAAACAGAGAAGAAAGGGCUUUUAGAAAGGUACCAGAAGGUGAAAUAGGAAGAGAGGAAAAUAAUCUUACCUCCCCCUCGUCACGCCGUGGCCGGAAAUUUCGAGGAUUCGCCAGAAAACAGCCGAGGCUUCUCUCCCUUGGUUUGGCUUUGAAUCGGACUACAAACGAGUUCUAUGGACCGGGUUAGAUAGAAGAGAAGGAGAGUAAGAGAUUGGAGGUGGUCUCGUCGCCAGGGGUGGCCGGAAACGGCGGGGUCGUGCGAAGGAUGCUGGAGGCAGGCGGAGAGAGGGAGACCGGAGCUCGGGUCAACGCCUGUGUAGGCUUUUGACUAGAGUUAAAAAUCUCUUCCCUUUUUAAAAGAAAAUGGAAGGUUGAGAUUGAAACCCUAUUGAUCCAACAAUCCAGAUUAAAAGUUAUAUUCUGGUUUCAGAAAAAUAAUUAUAAUAGCAAACCUUCAAUAAAACGUAGAAAAUACCUCGAAACUCCGAAAAAUAAUCUGAGGACACCGGUGAACUUGUGUCAACACAAACUACAACAUCAAGAUCUUAACAGAGGGAUUUGACAUUUCGAGAAAAACUCGAAAAUAAACUAGAGUGUUAACUUAUUAAGUUACCAAGCGUGGUUAUAUUUCUCAGUAACUCGUAGACCCAGUAAAUAGGUAAAAUUUGGUCCGGGGGUGUUACAAACUAGUAACAAAACAAUAAUUUCUACAAAACCAAAAUUAAAACAGAAAAUGGAAUAAAGUGAUCUACUUGCAGACAACAAAGUCAUUAAGAUUAUGGUCUGAGUUAACAAAAUUAAAAAAAGGUAUAUAAAUAGAAAAAGAGUAAAACAAAUAUAAAGAAA
rnacentral:lncRNA from 1 species